GAUGAACGCUAGCGAUAGGCUUAACACAUGCAAGUCGAGGGGCAGCAUGGUCUUAGCUUGCUAAGACUGAUGGCGACCGGCGCACGGGUGCGUAACGCGUAUGCAACUUGCCUCACAGAGGGGGAUAACCCGUCGAAAGACGGACUAAUACCGCGUACACUCCAUCUUGGGCAUCCAAGGUAGAGGAAAUGAAAUUCGCUGUGAGAUAGGCAUGCGUCCCAUUAGCUAGUUGGUGAGGUAACGGCUCACCAAGGCGACGAUGGGUAGGGGAACUGAGAGGUUGAACCCCCACACUGGUACUGAGACACGGACCAGACUACUACGGGAGGCAGCAGUGAGGAAUAGUGGUCAAUGGGCGAGAGCCUGAACCAGCCAAGUCGCGUGAAGGAUGACUGUCUUAUGGAUUGUAAACUUCUUUUAGACGGGAAUAACAAGAGUCACGUGUGACUCCCUGCAUGUACCGUAUGAAUAAGCAUCGGCUAACUCCGUG
rnacentral:rRNA from 1 species